UGAAGCAACAAGUUCCUUUUGCAAACCAAAAGCUUCAAAGUGUCUAGCUGCAGCCAAAUGUGGGGGAAAGUGCCAGGGGAGAUAAGGGACCCUGUGACUAGGACUCUUCACUGAGAGAGACAGAAAUAGAAAUAGAGUUCUCCCCACCCCAACACCAGGUGAGGAAUGUCUGUGUGAAAAGCCACCCUGGAAUUACUCAGAAGCAACCAAACAAAUUAUGCUGAUUAAAUGAGAUACCCUGAGCACAGGGCUUAGCAUUGGCCUGGCGCCUACAGGUGCAUAACGAAUUUGUUCCCCUGAUACAUGUGCACACACACACACACCUGCACUCCGCCUCAAGACUUUCUGCAAAUGCCAAGCACCUGCUAUGUGCUGGGCACUGUGCAAGGUUCAGGGGACCAGGCUCUCCAAGAGCUGGCCUCGGCCUCUGGGAGCUUUCUGUCUGGCAAUUGAAAGAGACCCGAGCCCAGGACAGAACUGGAGCCCUAACAGGAGUCUGGAGAGGUGCCCUGGAGCUGGAGUGCAGGCGAGUGAGCCUCCAGGCUGAGGGGACAGCAGGCGGGGCAGGAGGGGCAGGAGAUUGGGGCGACGGUGGAGCCUGGGUAACGUGGAGGGAGGGUCUUCGGGUGGUAUUUUCUUGCUACCCGCCCACUUGGUCUAUUCCCUUCGUGCCUCCUGGAGAGGAGAAGCUUGGCUGCUCACCCUUGCAGGCCUCCACACAACCGCCACAGGGCCAUCCAGCACUGGCCCCUGCGUGGAUGGGGCUGGCAGUGCACAGGUGGGCUGGGAGCAUCUACAAAAGAGCCCUGCCCUCUGGGUCCCAGGAGAAUAUUCUACCCAUCAGAGUCCUCAUGGGGCUGAAGAUCCUCCCAGCGGUGGCUCCUGGGACCAGCUCCAGGUGCAGGACCUGGGGUGCUGCCCGUCCCUUCUUCCCUCCUACCCUCUAGGCACCGUUCUCCCCCACAUUUGGGAGCAGGUAGCCUCUGGCUCCCAGAAGGAUGUCCCUGGGGUGUCAGAUCUGAAGGUGAAGGGAGAGGGGAAAAGAACCCUCCUCAGUGGUCUGCUCCUUGGGUGCUGUCUCAAGGUAGGCCGACCUGUGGGAGCAGGGAGCUGCCGCCCAAGGCACCGGGUGGAAGGCUGGCUUGGUAGGCAUGGCAGCUCUGUCCCAGAGGGGUUAGGGCUAGAGGCUCCCUGCCAGCCAAUGGGGAACUGUGCAAGGGGUUUUCACAGGCCACCCAUCCCGACAGUCACCAGGACUGGCCUGAAGUUAGUGGGGGUCCCCACGUCUCAGAUUCCAGUGUGGGUGAAGGCUGCUUCCCAGCUGAUGCGCUUGGAAAAGUCCCUGCCUGUGCCACGGCCACAGAGUGCUGUGUAAUUUCCUCUGUGGGUCAGUCCUCCCGGGGCCUGUGACGGGGCCAUGAGUCAGGCCUUAGCUUGUCACUAACAAGCCACCGGCUGCCUGCUUCCAGCUGGUUGGUGGCCACCAGAGUGGCCGCCCACUGCCUUCUCCCAUCUCUGCUCUGUUCUGCACAGGAGAGGUGUGACCAUGCCAGGGUCAGGCAGACCCCCACUGUGGCUCUGGGGGAGGCCAGAGUGAGCUGUGACCGGGCAGAUGUGCAGCGAGCUCCCCAGCAGGUCAGCCAUGAGUUUCCAGGGCCAGGAAUCACCAGCAAGUGUUUGACCUGGGCCAGAUCGCCCCACUCAACUCCCAAGUCUCUUCUGCAAGAGUGUAUGUCCCAGAGCAGUUUUCCAGGAUUGCUGUGUGAUUAAUUCUGCGAGGCCGCUACUUUGGGGAUCAAAGCCCCUCUCAGGCCCAGAAAGGGAUGUGGAGACUCGCCAAGCUAGAAGACCCGUCUGGCCACCAGCCAACUUCCCAUGCAAAGUGCAGCUCCAGUCAUGAAGGAGGCCUGGGAGUCUUGCCAAAUACUGAAGACUCUGCCAGAGAAGAAUAGAGGGCCUGCCCACGCCUGCCCCCAUCACACUGUGGGGAGGGACAGCUUACCUUGGUUCCGCCCAAUCGGAGGGUGAGCGUGUGGGGGCUGGAUGUGUGCAGCGAUCCUCACCAGGGGCCUGCGGACAUGCAGCCUCACUCCAGAAGGAAGAGCCACUGGACAGGAGGGGAUUCUGGGAAAUAAGCCUUCCCAGGAUUCAAUGCCUGGGUGAAUGCUGCAGGCAGGUAGACUUAUGUCUCAAUGCCCAAAGAAUAGUCUGUUUUUUCAAAGAAAGAAAGAAGGAAGGGAGGAGAGGAAUGGAAGUGAAAAAAAGAGAAAAAAAGGAAACACAAAAGUUCUAGAUCUGCGCUGUUUGAUAUGGUGGCUUCUGCUCACAAUAUGGCUGAUCUGAACUGAAAUGUGCUGUAAGUAGAAAAUAUACGCCGGAUUUCACAGACUUAGCAUGAAAAAGGAAUGUAAAUAAGUAACAAUGAAUAGUUCUUAUAAUAAUAUUCUGAAAUAAUAUUUUGGGGAUUUUGGAUUAAACAAAAUAUAUUAAAAUUAA